rnacentral:rRNA from 1 species
CGCCUCCUGCAAAAAUCAACGUAUAGGAGGUCUUACCUGCCCAGUGACAUGUUAAACGGCCGCGGUAUUUUGACCGUGCGAAGGUAGCGCAAUCACUUGUCUCUUAAAUAAAGACCUGUAUGAAUGGUGGAACGAGGGCUUAACUGUCUCCCCUUUCAAGUCAAUGAAAUUGAUCUGCCCGUGCAGAAGCGGACAUGUAUUUACAAGACGAGAAGACCCUUUGGAGCUUAAGAUGUAAGAUCAACUAUGUCAAAAACCCAGUUAAACUAAAUAGCACCUGAUCCCAGUCUUCAGUUGGGGCGACCACGGGAGAAAAUAAAGCUCCCACGCGGACCGGGGACUCCCCCCAAAACCAAGAGAAACAAUUCUAAGUCGCAGAAUUUCUGACCAAAAGAUCCGGCCACCCGCCGACCAGCGAACCAAGUUACCCUAGGGAUAACAGCGCAAUCCCCUUUCAGAGUCCAUAUCGACAAGGGGGUUUACGACCUCGAUGUUGGAUCAGGACAUCCUAAUGGUGUAGCCGCUAUUAAGGGUUCGUUUGUUCAACGAUUAAAGUCCU